CAUAUAUAUAUAUGUAUAUAUAUAUAUGCAAAUGCAUACACUCACAUACAUACACACAUAUAUUUUCCCCCCUUUCCUUCCAUACUCUACCCAUAGAGGAACCUAGCUUUCUUCUGUCUCCUUUAUUUUUUCCCCCCAAAUCUGUGACAACUGCUGCAGGAAUAUUUGUACCAAGAUGAAAGAAACUUGGCCAACAACCAGCACCACACUCACACAGACAGACUGACAUGCAGUCAACACAAACAGAAAAGAAAACACUCUUUCCAUGCAAUGAAAUGCACUUAUUGUAUUACUUUCAUUAUUAUUAUUAUUACUACUAUAAUUAUCAUUAUUAUUAUUAUUAUAAUUAUUAUUAUUAUUAUUAUUGAUAUAAUUAUUAUUUAUUAUUAUUAUUAUUAUAAUGAGUAUUUGACCGUGUAAUGUCUUCAUCCGUCGCCCAUGUGGCAAUAAAAGAAAUUAUUAUUAUUAUUAUUAUUAUUAUUAUUAUUAUUAUUAUUCCACUGAGGUCGACUUUGCCUUUCAUCCUUUCGGGGUCGAUAAGAUAAGUACCAGUUGAGUACUGGGGUCGAUGCAAUCAACUUAUCCCCUUCCCAAAAUUGCUGGCCUUGUGCCAAAAUUUGAAAUCAUUAUUAUUAUUAUUAUUAUUAAUAUAUAUUACUAUCAUCGAUAAUUAAUUCUUUGACAGUUUAUCAGUUGUAAUAUUGAAGAAAAGCUAUGGAAAACACACACACACACACACACACAUCUCUUGUUAACUUGAGGAUGCCACAAAAUUGUACAGCCAUUUCAAAACCUUUUCAUAUUUCUUUGAAGGCUGAUCAGCCAGAUCUUUUUUUUUUUUAAGGAAUGUGAAAAUGUAUUGAAAUACCUGUAUAGUUGCAAUGCAUCACCCAGUUAAUAAAAGGUAUAUUGACUCUGCACUUAAAGAAAGUUUUGAGUACUUUCUUGUGGUCUGAUUUACCCCAUCUGUUACGAAGAUAUAUAAUUGAUAUAUGUGUGUGUAUAUAUAUAUAUAUAUAUAUAUAUAUACUCGUAUAUAUACACUCACACACACACACACAUACAGAUACACACACAAACACACUCAAAUUUAUCAAGUUUUUCAUAAUGGUCAAACUGUUACCCUCCAGUAUAACUUUUUCAGUUUGUUGUGUAAGUAAAGGCUUCCAUCGUAUCUUUCUAUUUACCUAGCUAGCUGCUUCUCUCCCACCUCUUUCUCUCAGUAUUGCUAUGUGUGUGCAUAUAUAUAUAUAUAUAUAUGUAUAUAUAUUUAAUGUAGGAUAAAAAAUUUUUUUCGAAAAAA
rnacentral:lncRNA from 1 species